rnacentral:lncRNA from 1 species
UUAAACUUGUUCGCGACCAAAUGAUAUGUUGUUACUAGGACGACAACAUUAUCGAGAUUAGAUCGUUGUGUGACAUAUACGUUGGUUGUCCUCUUAACCAAGAAGUGUGGAGACACUGGUAUGCCAUACAGGUGAAGUGUAGGAGUACAUUUCACUGAACGUGACCAAUUCCGGAAUGCUCUACUGUCGAGAGAUGUUUCGAGUGGAUAUGGG